ACCGACGCCACCACCGCCGCCAUGCUCUAAAUCCCGUGCAAGAGAAGAGCGAGGGAAAUUGUGAUUAAUUCUCAUUUUAAUUAUUCGUAUUUGACUAGUGUUUUCAUUACAAAAUGGGAAGAAAGAAAAAGAAGGUUAUGAAGCCAUGGUGUUGGUAUUGCAACCGAGAUUUUGACGAUGAGAAGAUUCUUAUACAGCACCAGAAAGCAAAGCAUUUUAAAUGUCACAUCUGUCAUAAAAAACUGUACACUGGUCCAGGUUUACAAAUCCAUUGCAUGCAGGUUCAUAAAGAAAAUAUUGACAAAGUUCCAAACGCUGUUCCAGGGAGGCAUGAUAUUGAAAUCGAGAUUUAUGGAAUGGAAGGGAUACCAGAGGCGGACUUGAAGAGUCAUCAAGAAAAAGUAGCUGGUGAUGAAAAAAAGAAAGAAGAGAAGAAAAAUUCUCAGGAACCAAGUACCUCGCAGCUUACCAUUCCUGUGUCUGCAAUGGCAACGAUGGCAAAAAUGCCAGGAAUGAUGCCAGGACCAGGUAUGAUGGCUGGCAUGAUGCCAGGACAGAUGCCGAUGCCACCAAUGCCUCCUAUUCCUGGAAUGCCAGGGAUGCCUCCAUUUGGAAUGAUGCCGGGGAUGUCAGUACCUAUGAUGAGACCAAUGCCUCCCAUGAUGCCAAAUAUGACACCCUCCAUGAUGCCUGGUAUGAUGCGUCCACCUGUAAUGGCACCUGCCUCAACCACAGUUAGCAGUACAGCCAACGAGUCCCUUGUACCCCCAACCAUAUCAUCAACCCCAUCCAGUAGCCAAGCCAAACCUUUGUUCCCCAGUGCGGCUGCGACCACUACUAGUAUGCCUAGCACAGGGUUGAUUGGUCCCCAUCAUCCGGUAAGCAAAGCAGUGGGUCCAGUAAUAAGUAAACCAAGUCCUACAGUAAGCGCACAGCCCUCGACAACCACAAUCACCUCAGCUCCCCCCACUGUCAAGACAACAUCCGUUGCGGGUAAGGUGUCCAGCUCAAGCGCAACAAGUAAAAUUAUGCAUCCAGAUGAAGAUAUAUCGUUGGAGGAGAUUAGAUCAUCUCUACAAAAAUAUGCUGCCAAACAAGUAACGAAGCCUGUAAGCCUACCGAAUACGAGCUCACCUAUGAUGAUGCAGCAACGGCCGCAAGGCAUGCCAGGUUUGAUGGGGCAAUCCCCAAUGAGGCCGCAUAGACCCUUGCAACAAGGUGUAGGUGGGGGUGGUGGAAAUGGUGGAGGAGGAGGAGGAGGGGGUAAUAUGGCAAUGGGGAUGCAACAUCAGAUGCAAAUGCACCAAGGUAAUAAUAUGCCAAGGCCGCUUUUAGGCGGCAUGCCUAGUCGGAUGCAGAUGGGUCAGUCGAGGCCAAUGUAUCAACCACCAUCCAUGAUGCAACAGCAACAGCAGCAUCGGAUGCCCACUGGGCCUAGACCACCACUCCUUCAACUACCCCCCGGCAUGAUGAGGCCGGGAAAUAGUAGAGUGUGAAGGCAUACUCAACUGACUCUUUAAAGCGAGUUCAGCAUUUCCCUCAAAGAUACUGUGAUAGUGUGCUUAUCAAUGACCUAAACACAGGUUUUAGCUUGCUUGGUUCAUUUAUGCAUGCAUGGAUGCUAUUUUGAAGACCUACAGUACAAAGAACACAUAGUCCAAAGAAAAUGUUUUUUAGGUAUUUAACUGUUGAUCAGAAAAGAGCACCGUAUUGUUAUCCUUCAUACAAAGAAAUAAUUGGAAGAGGAUUACUGUGUACAGCUCUAUCAUUAUUGGAUGGAAGCAGGAGUCUAGACUUCAUGAUAGAUCCAGGUAUCAGAAUUUAAGCAAAUUCGAAUAUAAUUAUAUUAAUUUAAAUAUUUGGAGAAAAAAAUAUUUGGUUGCAUAAUGUAUAUAUUUAAAGUUACAGUAUUAGCUUUAGUUUUCUUCACUAAUUAACAGCAGAAUAAAUAGAAGUUUGGUAUUUAACGAAAUCUGUAGAUCUGUGGAAUUUGAUAACCUUAUUAAGUAUAGAUCUCCCUCCAAUUAAAGACCAAUUUUAGGACUGGGAUUUCCACGGUCUUUAGCAGCUUUGGUCUCUAAAAUAGUAAAGAUAAGACAUUUGUUAAUUUGGGACCACAAAAAAGUGGUCUUUAAUCGGAGUGAGACCUGCAUUAAUUUAUAGGUGUAUUUUAGAUUAAUUAAUCACAAACAUAGUUUGUAUACAUUUGGAAAGUUAUGGGAAUUCAAUUGAGUGUUUUCCCAGAACCUCCAGUUGAGGAAAAUUACUUUGGCUAAAGAAAAGUUAUAGGAAUAUUUUUGAAAUGUAAUAAGUGAAAUAAGUUAUGGUAUACCGUACUUAAGCCAUAAAAAACUCUUGUUGGUCUGGUUUUGGAAAUUCAGAUGGAUGGGUCUUAAAACGUACUGAUGUAUUAUGAGGGCUUAAUGACAUAGACUAUAUUAUCGCCUUGUAAUUUGAUAGCGAUUUUUUUAAAAUAAACAUUAGUACAAAAUGUAA
rnacentral:misc_RNA from 1 species